CAGUUUUUUAUAUGCCACACGGCACACGAUUUUCUUUACUUGGCUUUCGGGCUCGGUUUCCAAAAAAGGCAAGCGUUUUCCCGAUCGCUAUCGUGAGUUUCCCAAGUGCCCUUUGCUUAUUAGGUUUAUCACACGCGUUCUGGGGCAAACAUUUCACCAUCUCGUUUCGUUUCUCGUUUUUAAGAUUGUCCUUUUCUAAAGAGGCAAUGGCACCCCGUGGCUAAAACCAGGUAAUACCCAUGGCUAGACAGGUGUUUUGUUGUCGCUUCUAUAAAUGAAACUCUAUUUCGUUGGGGCUGUAAAUGAAAGAUACAUGGGCACGGAUUUUAAUUGUUCUAUGCUAUUGGAUACUGGGCGUUAAAAACUCUGCAGCUCUACGCAAAUGAAGGCGAUUUAUCAAACUUAAUGCUUUUCCCGCAGAUUUCUCAUUAGUUUCAGUUUCAGUUAACCCAAAGACUGAUUAAUUGUAAGACUUUACUCUCUUCGAGAGUUUUGCCAGUUGAAGUCUUGAAGUCCCAAGCCUGGCAACAUUUGGCAACAACUUUCAAAUGAGAACCUAUCAAUGGCAGUUUUCCCAGUUGCUAACAAAAAACUUUGGCACUCGAAUGACAAAUGGAACCGCAGUGGGAAACCCGUGGAGGAAUUCGACCAUUCCCAGGAAACGGAUGUGGGCGUGUCGGAGUACAUAUUUUACAAUAUUUAUUGCUUAGGCGAAAACUUUUUGCCAAGUUGAAUUUUAAUUAGUUUUGUAUAUUUGCCUCUUUGCAAUUCCACGAAAAGUUUGCGGCAAAUAUAAAUCUUGCCUAGAUGUUUUUGUAUUUGUGUGUGUGCGGCUUUGUGAGCCGCGAACUUCAAUUAGGCCCUAAACUUUAGCCGAAAAGAAAAAAAAUAUUUGGUUAUGAUUGAGCCAAAAUCAACAAAUUCAAAUUUGUGCAUUAAUGAAGCAUAUGUUAAUUGGUGCAGAAAGCUAUGUUUUUAUUGUUUCAAAUAUUUUUUAUGCGCCCCCAAAGCUUAUAAAAAUUGUGAUGUUUUAUUUAUGAGCCAAGGAAAAAAUGCUUUAUUUUUGGAUUGCCAUUUGGAAAAUGCAUAAAAAUACACCCACUCCAUUGAGUUUUCGAAAGGGUCUGAGGUGUGUUCUGCCACGAAAAAGAACUUUGCUGGUAUUUUAUGGCUUAUAUCAGAUAUUUAAGGAUCAAUUUAUGCAGCCAAAAGAUUAUUUCUUACCCCAUUCGAUAAAAACUAUCUCAAGUAUCAUGAGUUACGACGACGUUACGAGUACAAAAGUUUUACUGUCUAUCAUAUCUCCGUGGGUAAAAAGUAGGAACUGUUGACACCGCACCGUAAAUAAAACGUAAAGUCAACCUUAAAUGUUACAGUAAGAGACAAUUAAACAAACAAGGGGCAAAUCGUAAAAAAUGUUCAAAACGGGACGUAAAGAGAGACAUUUUACUGUUUUUCGUUGAUUCAUAUCGCUUGGCCUAUGCAAAUGCAAAAUGUAACAGGGCAAAUGGU